AGACUGCCAGCAUACCAGGCUGGAUUCUGUGGCCUGGAGAUGUAGCUAGAGGCCCCAGUAAAUUCCCUGUCUGUACUGGUAUUUGCUCUGUGACUGCCCAAGCACCCCUGAUCCCUUCUGCAUGGGGAGCAGAGUGUUUGUGCUGCUGCAGAACCCAGCUCUGCCCUGUCUGAGCGCUGGGAAGGCGCCCCAGCCCUCCAGCAGGCCCCGAGCCCAGAUCCCAGAGCACUCCAGGGAUCCUGCUGUUCACAUUCAUCCUCUUGAUCAGGAACCAGCAGAACCUUCUACAAACAUCCUGCCACAUCAGCUCCUCUGUUCCUCCCAUUACUCUGAAUUUCAGGAUAAAGAGAGGCCAGGUAACAUUUAGGUCCAAAAGAGUGAGAGAGACCAAGCUGCAGAGCUUCAAGUUGUUGGAUUUCUACUUAAAUGGAAGAAUGAUCACUAAAUAACUUGAACAAAGCCCUGGGAUAGGUUUUUGGAGAAGACGUGGAGCAAAAGCAGCUGGUGAUGGAAACUCUGAGGCAACCCUGUCCUAUCCCCACUGCCUGGAAAGUGUCCCCCAUGGUACAAUCCCAGCCUUCCUGGCUUCACUUUGCUUCUGGAAAGUGCAGUGGAUGUGGUGGUGCUGCAACACGAAUACUCAGUCCUUCUGGAAAUAUUGCAGCUCUUGUGAAUGCCUUCAGGGAGCAAAUAUUGCUGUGCAACCACUGCUGGGCUAUUUCAGCAUCUAUAACCCACUUGGGAAGGAAAACAGAUCUGUGAACACAGAGCCCUUUGUUCAUACAAAAAGAAGCCCUGGAGACCUGUGAAUAUCAGUCCUUUGGAGAAGGAACAACAACAAAAUCAAAUCAACACUUGUGCUGGAGCAAGUACCCAGUGUGUGGUUGAAGCAUCUCCACCUCUCUGAGGAUGACCCCCAAAGAUCCCACAAGCUACAGCAGCAGGACAAGUCAGAGUCCUUUGCCUUUGUGACAUAUUAUGCAUUGAAACAAUACUUCCUCUGGAAAGGUCGUGGCACUGAGUCGUGCAACAAGCCUUAUCAACAAUUCCAGGAGCUAUGCAGGGUUUUCUGCCAGAAAGCUGACUUUUCUCCUGGCUGAGGCUCGAGGGCCCAUCAGUGCUGAAACAUCGCUGGAAUGUUCUGUCCUGCAGACACAGGGGAACAGAAACCUCUCUGGAGGAGGAAACACUAGCCUUAGAGCUACAGGCUUUGUUUCUGUACCUGUCACAGUUAUUUAUUAUUUCAGGCAACUUCUGAAUUUAUAUAGUGCUCCUGAAAAGUGGUGCUGAGCCCUGAAUAAGUAGAUGAAUGGAUUCUCAGCACCUCAGUGUUCGUUUUGGCCAGAAAAUGGAAAGCACUGUGAUGGAACAGGAGGUACAGCAUCUGAAGUUACUGGGUCAU